rnacentral:rRNA from 1 species
CCUACGGGUGGCUGCAGUGAUGAAUAUUGGUCAAUGGGCGGGAGCCUGAACCAGCCAAGCCGCGUGAGGGAAGAAGGUACAGCGUAUCGUAAACCUCUUUUGUCAGGGAACAAAGGCGGGGACUAGUCCCCGGAUGAGGGUACCUGAAGAAAAAGCAUCGGCUAACUCCGUGCCAGCAGCCGCGGUAAUACGGAGGAUGCGAGCGUUAUCCGGAUUUAUUGGGUGUAAAGGGGGCGCAGACGGCGAUGCAAGCCAGGAGUGAAAGCCCGGGGCCCAACCCCGGGACUGCUCUUGGAACUGCGUGGCUGGAGUGCAGGAGGGGCAGGCGGAAUUCCUGGUGUAGCGGUGAAAUGCGUAGAUAUCAGGAGGAACACCGGUGGCGAAGGCGGCCUGCUGGACUGCAACUGACGUUGAGGCCCGAAAGCGUGGGGAGCAAACAGGAUUAGAUACCCGAGUAGUC